UAAAAUUCCAAGAAAAGGUCAGGUUGACCAUGGGACAUUGGUCAACCUUCAUCCCAAAAAUCAAAGGCUAAAAAUAAUUUUAAGUUAGGGAAAUAAAAUCAAUAAAAAAAGUAUGCUAAAAUGAACCAUUUAGAAUAAAUAAUUAAAAUAAAACAUUAAUAUUAAAUAAAUACGAAAAUAAAAAUUAAAUAAAAUUAAAUAAGACAUUAAAAAAAGUGAAAAAUAUUUUUGGGUAAUUUUAUGAAUAAAUAAAAUAUUUUUUAUCAAUUAAAAACAAAACAGAAAAUAAAUGGAAAUUAAAAAAGAAAAUGAAAAGAGAUUGUUGGUGG
rnacentral:lncRNA from 1 species